rnacentral:rRNA from 1 species
UACGGGGGUGCGAGCGUUGUCCGGAAUCACUGGGCGUAAAGGGCGCGUAGGUGGUUUGAUAAGGGUGUGGUGAAAGUCCGGGGCUCAACCCCGGAUCUGCCGUGCCGACUGUCAAACUCGAGGACUGUAGAGGCAGACGGAAUUCCGGGUGUAGCGGUGGAAUGCGUAGAGAUCGGGAGGAACACCGGUGGCGAAGGCGGUCUUCUGGACGGUGACUGACGCUGAGGCGCGAAAGCGUGGGGAGCAAACGGG